UACAGAGGGGGCAAGCGUUGUUCGGAAUUACUGGGCGUAAAGGGCGCGUAGGCGGCCUUCUAAGUCAUGCGUGAAAUCCCCGGGCUCAACCCGGGAACUGCGUCUGAUACUGGAAGGCUCGAAUCCGGGAGAGGGAUGUGGAAUUCCAGGUGUAGCGGUGAAAUGCGUAGAUAUCUGGAGGAACACCGGUGGCGAAGGCGGCAUCCUAGACCGGCAUUGACGCUGAGGCGCGAAAGCUAGGGGAGCAAACGGG
rnacentral:rRNA from 1 species